rnacentral:rRNA from 1 species
AUACUGAUACGGGGCUCUUUUGGGUCUCGUAAUUGGAAUGAGUACAAUCUAAAUCCCUUAACGAGGAACAAUUGGAGGGCAAGUCUGGUGCCAG